rnacentral:lncRNA from 1 species
AACUACACAAUUAGGAAAUUAUUAUUAAAAGAAAAACAUACACAAAAACUUACAUAGAUAUGUCAAGAUUAUUAUAAUUACUACAUUAUACAUCGAACAAGAGUCUGUUAAACAAUAUCAGAAAGAAUAAACUAAACGAAGAAGAAAAUUCCAGAAGCAGAGGAAAGCAAAUGAAUAGAUUCAUCAAAUCUUGUAGUGUUAUUUCCGCACCGGCCUUAUUAACAGAAUCUCUAUCUUAUAAACCGGCCAUCUUGGGAGGUUUGUGAUCUUGUCGAGUGAUAUUAUAUGGGUUGACUCUCGUUUCUCUUCUUGAUAAAGUCCAAGAGAAAAAGGUCUUCCAAAAUCGAUAGGCUGGGAAUUUGAUCCUCUCUCAUAAAGGCGCACACUCGUGAUUAGAAGAUGCAUCUACAAGUGCCAAAAAAAAAUUGAGAUUCAAUACAACAAGCAGUUUAAAUAACUGAUUGAAAAUAUACACCUUCUACAGAAGAUUAACCAUACGUAAUGCAAACUGCAAUUAGUGAUUGUGAAAAUUUAGAAACCAAAAAAGAGACGGCUUCAAUUUUGUACAAGAACAGUUCUUAGGUUUGUAGGUAAACUUGUGAAUGAGGGAGAG